CCCACCGAGCUGUGAUUAUUGCUAGUUGAAAACUUUAACCAAUACCCCGCCAUGGGGACGUGAAAUAUCGUCCACUACGGCAAUUUUUGAAAGUCCGAAAGGAC
rnacentral:snRNA from 1 species